CCCCUGGUUUUUGGGCAAAUAUUUAAUACGAUAUAGAUAUUUAAAAGUGUUCUGUUGUUUUUGAGCUAAAAAAUCUUAAUAUUUCCCUCGAAUAUUACUUGGUUUACAACGCGGAGCGAGGGUGCGGGUUUGCUUCGCUUGUGGAUGCAGCAUUUCACUACAAAGACUACAAAGAAAGACUAAUUCUUUCAGGUAAGAUUCACGAAACUUUUUUAUAACUUUCUAGACGACUAGACUGCUAGACUGCUAGAUAUGAAGGGUCAUAUUAUAUCGAAAACUCAUCAUCCUAAUAUGUACAGCAAAUAUUUCAAUAGGGGACAUAAAAGUAUUGUUAACGAUUAAACAUUGUGUACAUGAAAUUAUGUUGUUUUGUGUCAGCACUGGUCUUUGUGGUUUUAUUGCCAGUUUUUAUUUAAUAUACUAAAAAUUGUGUUUGUUUACAUGUUCAUAUAUUUUAAAACGUUUAUUAAAUAUGGUGUGAAAUUUACAUACUUGCCCAUCACAGUGCAGAAUUAGUAUAUACAGAUAAGCACAAGACUAGAGAGAGUUGAGCCGUAGAGGAGGCCCACCUACAUGUGACAAUGCAUGUGCCCUGUCCUGAUGAGCCCUAAAGACUGUCUUUAUUAUUUUACUCUGUCUGUCUAAUGCCAGACGAUUUUAAGGGGAUUGAGACUGCUCCCUGCUGCCACACAGUGGGUUAAUUACACUAUCUGCAAAUGAGCAGCCCCUGAGAUAUAUAAUCAGCCAAUUAAGCUGCAAUGAACCCUGGCUACUUUCUUAUUUUACUCAAUCUGUGAGAUUAAAUCCAGAUGUUUUACUCAUCAAGGGAAGAGUCUUAAAAAUAGAUAUCAUUUUGUCAUUGUCUGUUCAGAACUAUAUAAAAUUAUAUAGUUUUACACAGUAUGAUGUCAUAGUUAUUGGCAAGAACAAAAAUGUUUCCCACAAGCUGCCGGAAAUUAAGUGAGUCACUGAUACACUAAUCAUGAGGUAAAUUCGUAAUGCUACAACAUUUCUAACAAGGGCGGAUUUUCAUUUAUUUAAAAGGAGGGGUAGAAAAAUUUCUGGUGGGGUGCAAGCGGCACCACUCAGUGAGCUUUGGUAGGGGUUAGGCAUUUGGGAAUAAAGCCUUUCACACAAAAUGGGAGGGUUGAAACAGAAUUUUGGUGGGGUUGGACACUUUAUUAGACGGGUUUAAACUCCCCGCCCCCCUCAACUGUCAAGUAAAUCCACCCAUGACUUCUAACAUUGGGAGUAUAUAGUGAUGUCCGAUUGGCCAUGACACAGCCUGUGAGAAAUUAUGAUGAAAAUUUGAUCAUAAUAGUUAAGUUGACAUAUUUUAGCAGUUAGUUAGGAAUGUAAUAAUUGCAUUGCUGAAUAUUGAAACAUAAGAUUUAAUUUUGAAGCUCAAAUCAAUUACUGGUCUUGGUAAAAACAGAUCAUGUAAUUGCACUCUCCCCUUGACUAGUAAAAUUGUCUGGCAUUAGGUAGAUUAAAAUAAUACAGUAAGGCAUAUCAAGACACAUUGCCACUUGUGAAGGAUUAACAUAUGUGUAUAUGAUAUUAUUGUGAUGUAAAGAUGUACAUGUAUAAUGUAUCAUGAUAAUAAUGUCAUCUUUUAUUUUGCAGAAAUUAUAUGUUUAAUAUACACAAGAGAUGGCACAGGAGAGGCAUCAACAUGCAGAAAAACAACAAAAUGAAUUAGUUCAUUAUAAUACCAUGCAUAACAACAUAAAUAAUUAUAUGAUUAUG